UGGAGGGAAGUCUUCGAAGUGUGUUUUUUUCCCCAACAAUUGUCGGUCGUUGUCUGUGACGGUGAGCUUCUCCGACGGUUCCCCGGGACGAGCCAGCGGCGACUUGUUGACUUUUUUUGGGAGAGAGCUAAGCUAAGCUAUGGCUGUAGCGCAGCUCCCCGCUCCAGGCACUACAUCACCGGAGAGGAAACUCGAAACAUCCCUCCCCCCCAAACACACUGGGCAUGACAUGUGUAGGAGCCCAUAUUGUAAGCAGUGGCAUUGCGGAUGAGCAGACGGGACACUCCAUCUUCAUUUGUUUCCAUCACGUUGGCAGUCCGGAAAUAAGUCCAGGAAUAUUUCGGUCGUGGGUUGCCCAUGGAGGAGCACUUCAGCCCCACGGUAGAACCAACAUCCACUUCAGAGUCUUCAAGCUCAAGUAUUGGUGAUGGUUUACAAGAUCUUCAUGAAAAUAACUUACAUAGGACAGUAAUCUCAACUGUGUGGUUGACACUGGACCGACUGUUUGAAGCCGUGAUCAUGUACUGCCCUGCAUCGUGUCGUGUCAGUAUUUGAGGGAGCUCCACCUCC